rnacentral:lncRNA from 1 species
CUGCACCUCUUUUUAGAGGCAGACCAAAUUAUAUAUAAACGGCUUCUAAAACUUCAUUUCCAGAGAUGGUGCAUUUCUGGCUGCCUCUUAAAAUGCACUCUAUUUUUAAACGUGUCUAGCUAGUGUUUAGUGUUUCUUUGUCAUAAUCUGUUGACGAUCAAAACUGAAUGGAAGCGGUCAAAAACAUAGCAUAACUACCGCCACUGGAGAGGUAGCUAGUAUUUUAUUAAGUUCGCAUUAGGCCUUGUUUGGAUGUUGUCGGAUUCACCUCAAUUCAUAUGUGUUGGAGUGGAUUGGGGUGAAAUUUAGUUUGAGUUACACUCCAACCCACUCCAACACAUGUGGAUUGAUGUGAAUCCGACUACAUCCAAACAAGGCCUUAGAUGAACGUAUAGGCAUGUCCAUGCCCUGACGGACGUACCGACUUGCAACAUAACUGAUGCAAAGAAAACUCCAGACACUGGAGGCAUGCCUUGGUUGACUGACUAACUCUUUGUGCUUGUACUGUGCCACUAGAAAUUAAAACAAAUGAAAAUCUGCUUCGAGACUUGACGGGGAUAUACUUCACAAACCACCUCUUCCAGACUUCCAGACUCUGAUCGAGGGGACAAUUUGAUGUGUUCCUCUGCUCGGUCAGUCACUGUGCGGAGGCUGUCAGGUGAGUGUUUAUAUUUCUCACAUAGGGGUGUGGUCGCGUAGACGUCACCGGGUGGAAGUGCCUAUUUUCUGUAUUUGGAUGUGCAGUAGCAUCUUAAAAAUACAUGAACACUGAAAAAGGACAUCACAAGUAUAUAUCUUGGAAAUGCUUGACAGAUAUUUUUAUUUUUCCAUCACAAGCAACAUUUCCGACUUCCUUGCCAGUAGCAUUUCUAUGUUGUUGCAGAAAUGAUUGUCUAGAAAAACAGAAGAUCUUGCCUGGCAUUCAUUCCCUGUUUCCUCCAUUCCCCACCUUUAAUUACAACGACAACUUUUCUCCAGUGAUUUUUCUCUGUCUUCCAGUACGUACUCAUUCGAUUCUACUAUGCUCCUCAUCUGUUCUUUGGUGACCCAAGGCAAGAAAAUCAAUAUAUACAUUACCAGAUAGAGGUCGGACUUAUCAGGCCUUGUGAUUCCAGGACCAUCAGCAACAGGACCUUUAGGCACGCUAAAGUACAGUGCUAUACUACAAAUUAUGAGUAGAGCUGUGCCUAUAUGAUCUUGGGAUGUGCUUGGACCAUUUCAGCUUCAUUAUAUGUGAAUCUUUUAAAAAAGUAAAAAUACAGAAAAUUGAACUAACAUUCACAACAAAAUAGUUUAACUAAAAUUAUCAAGAAAUAAUUGAUAACAUAUUUGGGCUCCAAUACUAUACAGAACGUUCAAUGAAAAACGGGUCAAGACCCGCUUGUGAAAAACGUAGAACAUUCACUAUACAUAUCUAGAUGACUAAAAAAUGCACUAACAUCAACAACGUAAUAGUUUGACUAGGGUCGUGUCU